rnacentral:rRNA from 1 species
UACAGAGGUCUCAAGCGUUGUUCGGAUUCAUUGGGCGUAAAGGGUGCGUAGGCGGCGCGGUAAGUCGGGUGUGAAAUCUUGGAGCUUAACUCCGAAACUGCAUUCGAUACUGCCGUGCUUGAGGACUGGAGAGGAAACUGGAAUUUACGGUGUAGCGGUGAAAUGCGUAGAUAUCGUAAGGAAGACCAGUGGCGAAGGCGGGUCUCUGGGCCGAUACUGACGCUGAGGAGCGAAAGCGUGGGGAGCGAACAGG